rnacentral:lncRNA from 1 species
AAAUUUCCAUUAUUUCAUCAUUAUAAGAGGAGACAGCCUCAAUGGCAUCCUCAAAACCUGGAAUGACUGACACAUACCACACAGUUUCAACCAAAUUAAAGGAAACCGUCAGAUGCUAACAGGAAUUGCCUUUCAAGAGACCAGAGAGAAUUAUUAUCUGAAUUGGAAACUGAAUUAAAAUAAGAGAGAGAGAAGAAAGAUGAAAGGCAUGAAAGGGAAAGGAGGAAGAAACAAGGAAGAGGAAGAGAAAUAAGGUAAGCAGAGGAAUAAAAGAAGAAGGGGAGGAAAGAGGAGAGGAGAAGAAAAAAGAGAAGAAAAGAGAUACAAGAGGCAAGGUAGCCACUUGUCAAGCAAAUGUGUAGUGACUCCAGAGCCAACAGUUCUGGUGUUGAGUGCUUGUUCUUUAGAUUUCAGAUUGCAGUUAAAGUAAUGGAACCCUGUGGCUGCCAGUUGGUGCACCAGCUUUCUGAAUCUCAAUUUCUGGUAUUGGCCAAGUGAAGUGAAGAAAAUAAAAUGAAAUGCAUUAAGGGAAUGCCUGUGUGACUUUAGCGAACAAUUUCAGCAGAAAAACUUGCCUGAUAUUAGCCAACAAGACUGGAAAUUAAGAUGGAGGCAUUGGCCGGUUCCGGCGGCUCACGCCUGAAGUCCCAGCACUUUGGGAGGCCGAGCAGGUGGCCUGGAGAGGAAGAGAUAUGGAGUUAUUACAAAAAGGAAUCUGUAGUACUUGAAAACAAGCAAGAAACAGCAAGACAGAGGAAGAUGAAACUAAGAAGAAUAAGAAUCUUUUGUUUUCAGUUUCGAUAACGAAGCAAAUAAUGGAACCGAUGACAGGAAAAUUGAUUCAUAAGGUGAAGAUCAAGGAAUUUAACCGACUAGUAGACUGCGUAAGUUAUUUUAAUGUGCCUAACCUUUUGAGCAGCAUGAAGAAAAGUCUAGCAUUUCCAAAUAGUGGUGAUCAUGAUGAAAAAUCCAUUUAAACUUUCAUCAUAUAAAGACAAGCUGAACGUUUCAUAAUAUUUAGGGUGCAUUUUGUCAGUCUUACAAUAAUUUUAAAGGCAGACAUAUCAUAUAAGGUUUAUAUUGGUUCUGAAUAACUCUAGAAGAUAUCACACUUUAAACAGAUAUAUAUGGAAUAUUUUGUUAGAUGCUAUGCUCGAUAUUUAGUCAAUUCAGGCUGCUCUAACAAAGUCAUAGAUUGGGUGGCUUAUAAAC